UUAGUGUCUAGCAACGAGUGUUUCUCUUUUUCAGACUAGAAAAAAUGAAGUUCUCUGCUAUUUUCCUUUUGGCUGUCAUAACCCUGGUCACCAUGAUGACGGUUGCCGAAGCAUUCCCGGCCGCUGAUGAUGCCGAAUCCCUCGUAAAACGAGAGUGGUCAAGAUUCUUUAACACUCCCACCCUGGACAAUAUUGAUAGGAACGUUGAGAAAAUAAUGAAAACAAUAACUGGGGAGGGCAAGUAGCAUUGAUGUAGACAUUGUAGAAAUGACGCAGACUGCCGUUUUGUGCUUCUAGAAAAUAUUUCAAAAUUCUUGUAGGAAGAAGUAGACGAUGAAGUUCAUGUGGUAAAUAUAUGCACUU